GAGGAAUAUUGGACAAUGGGCGAAAGCCUGAUCCAGCGACGCCGCGUGGGUGAAGAAGGCCUGCGGGUUGUAAAGCCCUUUCGGUGGGGAAGAAAAGCCUCGAGUUAACACCUCGGGGUCUUGACGUAACCCAUAGAAGAAGCACCGGCUAACUCUGUGCCAGCAGCCGCGGUAAUACAGAGGUCCCAAGCGUUGUUCGGAUUCACUGGGCGUAAAGGGUGCGUAGGUGGUCGGGUAAGUCUGAUGUGAAAUCUCUGAGCUCAACUCGGAAAUGGCAUUGGAUACUAUUCGGCUAGAGGGUUUGAGGGGGGACUGGAAUACUUGGUGUAGCAGUGAAAUGCGCAGAUAUCAAGUGGAACACCAGUGGCGAAGGCGAGUCCCUGGAAAACUCCUGACACUGAGGCACGAAAGCUAGGGGAGCAAA
rnacentral:rRNA from 1 species